rnacentral:rRNA from 1 species
AUUGAACGCUAGCGGGAUGCUUUACACAUGCAAGUCGAACGGCAGCGCGGACUUCGGUCUGGCGGCGAGUGGCGAACGGGUGAGUAAUGUAUCGGAACGUGCCCAGUAGCGGGGGAUAACUACGCGAAAGCGUAGCUAAUACCGCAUACGCCCUACGGGGGCAACCAGGUGAUCGUAAGACCUUGCACUAUCGGAGCGGCCGAUAUCGGAUUAGCUAGUUGGUGAGGUAACGGCUCACCAAGGCGACGAUCCGUAGCUGGUUUGAGAGGACGACCAGCCACACUAGGACUGUGACACGGCCCAGACCCCUACGGGAGGCAGCAGUGGGGAAUGUUGGACAAUGGGGGCAACCCUGAUCCAGUCAUCCCGCGUGGGGGAUGAAGGCCUUCGGGUUGUGAAGCACUUUUGGCAGGAAAGAAACGUAGCGGGCUAAUACCCCGUGGAACUGACGGUACCUGCAGAAUAAGCACCGGCUAACUACGUG